UACGAAGGGGGCUAGCGUUGUUCGGAUUUACUGGGCGUAAAGCGCGUGUAGGCGGGCCGUUAAGUUGGGGUGAAAGCCCGAGGCUCAACCUCGGAACUGCCUUCAAAACUGGCGGCCUGGAGCAGAUGAGAGGCGAGUGGAAUUCCGAGUGUAGAGGUGAAAUUCGAUAGAUAUUCGGAGGAACACCAGUGGCGAAGGCGACUCGCUGGCAUCUUGCUGACGCUGAGACGCGAAAGCGUGGGGAGCA
rnacentral:rRNA from 1 species